CAAGCCUGACAUGAAACCAAGAGUAAACAGGGUAAAUGCUACAUCUUUACAGUACAUGAAAUAUGUUCACUCAAACACAGUUGAGUGCUGGUUAGGUCAUCCUCCAUGUUUUUACUCAGUUUAUUUCGUCAGCUAUGCUUUGCAGCGAAUAUAAAUACCUUCAUAAUAUUUAAAUAAAAUGUGUUCAUCUUUGAAACAGUAAAAAUGGUUGAGGGGUUUAUAAUUUAGCUGAAUGGACAUAACUAGAGAUGUACUAUUUGUGCCAAGUGAACUUGCCAACGAUGUUCUUACUGUAAAUAUGUCAUUACGGUUAAAUGCACACAUUAAUGCGGUUAUUGCGGAUAGUCAUUAAUAUAACAGUUCGAUUCAAACGUUUACAUGCUUUGCAAGAAUAACGAUUUCUCUAAUAAUCAUGUUUACAUGGACACGUCUGGAAUCAGGGAACCCGAUGGCAAUCUGACGAAUGCAGAAAAAAGCUGAUCAAAAUAAACGUUCUACCACCGCGACCGCGUUAUUUUUGGGAAGCAUAUUUGACAUAUAAAGCUUGUAUGUGAAAACUACUUCUGAAGCCUAAACCACAGACAAAUGCCGUCAAAAAUGUGCGUGCGAGAGUAGAGUGCGUCAAUUCACAUACACAGCAUCGCGUAUGCCAAUUUAAUGGCCGAUACAUAAACAGGUGUAUUUAUGUUCGCUAUGUAGCCCUUGUUGAGUGUUCCUUUUGAUUAACCCUAUGUCCUACAGGAGUCACCGCACAUGCCUUCUCUAAACAGGUGUAUUUAUGUUCGCUAUGUAGCCCUUGUUGAGUGUUCCUUUUGAUUAACCCUAUGUCCUACAGGAGUCACCGCACAUGCCUUCUCUAAACAGGUGUAUUUAUGUUCGCUAUGUAGCCCUUGUUGAGUGUUCCUUUUGAUUAACCCUAUGUCCUACAGGAGUCACCGCACAUGCCUUCUCUAAACAGGUGUAUUUAUGUUCGCUAUGUAGCCCUUGUUGAGUGUUCCUUUUGAUUAACCCUAUGUCCUACAGGAGUCACCGCACAUGCCUACUCUAAACAGUUAUGUUAGCUCACGAAUGUGAGGAGUUGUUGCUAAUACACCGGAGCAGAUUUUAAAGAAUUUAUCUUGUCUCAUUCUUUCUACAGAAGUAUUCUCUCUUGAAAUCAGAGUCCCUCGUGUUUCCUAGCCUGCCUAAGCUAAGUUAUAUUCCUGUGAUGGAAAUCAACACAGGUAGGCAUAAAGUUAAUUUUCAAUGUGCAUUAUUUGGCACUGGCAGUUAAAUGUAACACUAAGGGUGUGUUCAUAAAUGCACUCUAGCUGUCUACUUCGAUUUCAGGGCGCUCUUGUCUGAGUGCCAGAGCGCAGAAUAAUAUGGCCGGUGCCAGUAAAUGUCGGCAAAAAAGGCGUAAUUAAAUUGUUGCAUGAAACAUGAAAACAGCCAAACCAGCUCUGCUAGUGCGAGUAAAAUGGUCAGAGUGAGGUUCUCAUUUUUGUCUGGAAGUAGCUAGCAAUCUAGCCAACGGCGUGGGUGCUUGACUGCCGUUGUGAGGUCAGAAGGCUUGGAUCAACCCUACUCCUCCGCCAGAGCGUCCAGUGUGCGCUCUGAAUACUCAGAGAGCGAAACGCUCUGAAUGUACUAACGGACAAUCUGACAAUGCUCUGAAUUUACUAACGCCCAGAGCGCUCUCUGAGUGAAUUUACGAACACAUCGUAAUUAGACACUUUGGGUGUGUUCGUAAAUUCCAUCUGGAGUGCCAGAGUGCGCUCUGGGCGUUCAUAAACACAGAACGUUGUCAGAUUUUGAUAAACAGAGUAAAGUGUUUACAUGACUAUUGCAUAAUCUGCCUACUGCCAUAACUUGUAACUUUAAUAUUCAUGUAUGACUGUGCAUGUAAAGGUCAUGUAUUUCACUGCAGAUCAUUCAAAAUACACAAUGAAAAAAGAUACCAAUGACUGAGCCCCUUGCUGCAAUGCUGUUAGCUUGUGCUCAUGUGUCCCUUCUGUGUCCACGUUAUAGAUUCAAGAGAUGUGUACAGUAGGAGGAAACGUAUGUGAGAACACAGUACCCUUUAGAGAACAUCAUGUAGUUGGUCAGACGGGUCAGAACUGGAGAGAGGAAGCUGGAGUCCUUGAGGAGCUGUGUGGGAGACAGCAUGGCGAUGAUCCAACAGAACAACAAUAAGCAGUCAUAAUGCUCAGAGAACAGUCAGAUAAUCCAGAAUAGUAAAUGUUGACUAACCUUCUGAAGGAAUCUGGGAUGGUGUGUUUCUGGGAAUAUUCCUGUUCAAGAAAAAAUGUUUUUUUUUUUAAACUUAUAUUAAAUAUUUCAAAAUCAAACAUGGCAAGUUAACAGUAAGACAAAGGCUAUCAAAGCAAUGUGUCACUUUGUCUUGAAGUUCUUGACCGGUAAUCUACUUUGUACACAUAUGAAGUGAGUUUGAGGGGGUAAGAGUUUAGGGUAGGGACAUCCCAAGGAUUCCAGAUAGCACUAACUCAUAGGAAACUAUAGCGGUAUAGUGUGUAUGACUCGGAGUAGAGGAAUUUGUAAGAACAGAAAAUCACUGAUUUGAAUGAGGGGUUAAACUAAAGGUGAGCUACUCUGGUACUGAUGAGAAGCAGGGUGUGGAGGAUUUAGUGGGAGAAAUAUCCAAUUGGGCUGCGUGUGUAAAUGCAGUCUUAGUAAAAAAUAAAAUAAUAAUAAUCGGACAAUAAAGGUGAGUUUACACCAGCUGCCCUUCGUUGUCUAAUCAGGCUCUGAUUGGUUACAGGUUGUCUGCUACACACAACAUAUAAAUACACAAGUCUUUUCUCCUCACUUCACCAGUACUGUUCUUUGGGUGUCAUGGCUGCUCGUACUGGCUCAGGUUUAUAGGACUGUCUUUCUCCACCCUCUUCGAGCACGGCACUCGUCGUCUAUGAGAAAGACACUAGUCGGAGCGACACCGACAAGCAUAUGCUGCCCCCCUCUCCUCUAGAGACUGAAGGCUCUUCCCGUUCCAUACCGACUAGCUGGUGUCAGCUCCAGCAGGUUCAGGAAGAGCCUGAAGCUUGUCUUUCCAGGGUGGAGAAGACCCUUUAGUGCACCACUGGUGCCCUGGCUCUAUCAAGAUUCCUUGGCAUGAGCGGAACAACCAAAUUUGAUUUGUCACAUACACAUGGUUAGCAGAUGUUAAUGCGAGUGUCGCGAAAUGCUUGUGCUUCUAGUUCCGACAAUGCAGUAAUAAACAACGAGUAACUUAACAAUUUCA